GCCGGGCAUGGUACUACAUGCCUGUAGUCCCACCUACCUGGGAGACUAAAGCAGGAAAAUUGCUUGAGUCCAGGAGUUUGAGGCCACAGUGAACUAUGAACAUGCCACUGCACUCUAGCCUGGGCAACAGGCAGUAGAGUGAGACCCUAUCUCAAAAAAAAAAAAAAAAAGUUCACCAUCAAUAUGUUGACCUCCCAGGAGCAGGAGACCACUAGGUUGCCUAAGGAGAGGUGAAUCGGCCCAAGUCAGAAAAAGAGCAGGCCAAAAAUCCCAUGCUGAUGUGUAGUGGGCUAACACUUGUGAAGCCACUGUGCUCCACCCUGGGCAAUAUAACAAGACCUCAUUUCU
ensembl:misc_RNA Metazoa_SRP Metazoan signal recognition particle RNA